rnacentral:misc_RNA from 1 species
GCAGGUCUAGACCAGAACGAAGUGGUUGGGGAAAACCAGAAACCAAGUAUACAAAAGAUGGACCUGGGGCGCCUGGAGGACAGUCGUGGACGGUGCAGUGGUUGAAAUUCGAUAAUAGUUAUUUCAAGGACAUCAAAGAACGCAAGGACGAAGAUCUUCUAGUGUUGCCCACUGAUGCUGUUUUAUUCGACGAUCCAUCUUUCAAGGUCUAUGCUGAAAAAUAUGCAGAGGAUCAAGAUGCAUUUUUCGA